UUACGGCCAUAUAGAGCGUUGAAAGAUCGGUUCCCGUACGAUCACCAAAGUUAAGCAACAUCGAGCAUGAUCAGUACCUAGAUGGGUGACCGCUUGGAAAUAUCAAGUAUUGUAA